rnacentral:lncRNA from 1 species
CCUCGCCUGGCUCCUGCGCCCGCCGUCCAGGGCCCCUGUCCAAGCUCGCGGACGCCGGCGGCGUUUUCCAGCUCGAGUGCUCAGCCUAGGGCAGGCUCUGCGUGCGCCCCCUCGAGUGCCGGCCUGGGCCCUGCCAGGCAGAGGCGCUCUUGCGUCAGGACGGCGCCGCCGGGGCCCCGCGAUUCCAACUCGGGGGUCCCGGAGCGGCGCGGGGCGGGGACGGCCUGGCAGCUCCCAGCAGCGAGGGGCGAUCCCCGCCCGCGCAGCAGACCCCGAGCUGCCCAGGCCCUUCCUGCGCCACGUGUACCCAGAGCUCCGCCCGGGGGAGACUUCGCUGCUUGUUGGAGAUGCCCAGCGGUAGGGGGCGAGGACUCGGGAGGAAGAUAAACGGGGGAUCCCGUGUCUGGACUUUCUCCUCCACCCUCUUCCCUUCGCAGCUGUGAAUCCUGGGAGGGGAAGGGUGGCCGCCCCGCCAGCAGAGCUGAAGGUGUUCCGUGGUCAGUGAGGGCUGGCACUGGCUCUGCACGAAGAUCUCCUCACCUCCCCAGCGGCUCCUGGCCAGCUCCCCACGGAGAGCCCAGGACACUUGUCCCUGGACACAGUGGUGCAGCCAUGCUUGGGCCAAACCAUGAGGCCACCAGAACCGCGAAAGGCUACUGUACUGAGAGGGAUACUGCGAGAGAGGCCCACAGGUUUCCAAGCAUCCCUCUCACUCCGCACACUCAUCUCCACGACCGGCUUUAAGUGCGGCCUUGAGGCCUGGCUCCCUGUUUGGACUUCUCUGCACCUCCAGGAGCUCACUUCCCGUCACAGCUGGAUGCCUCCUCCCGCAGGCACCUCCCGGGCAUCCUCCCGCCCCAGGCUGCACCUUCUGUGGGACUGGCCCCCGCAGGCACCUCCCGGGCACCCUCCCGCCCCAGGCUGCAGCUUCUGUGGGACUGAGCCCCGCAGGCACCUCCCCGGCAUCCUCCCGCCCCAGGCUGCACCUUCUGUGGGACUGAGCCCCGCAGGCACUUCCCCGGCAUCCUCCCGCCCCAGGCUGCAGCUUCUGUGGGACUGACCUUAAGACCCCAUCGGUUCCUCCUGAGAGCAGCAGAUCUCAGCCAGAUGCUGCCGGGAGGGAGGUGCUAGCGUCCACACCCAGACGGGUCCAGUCCAGCCCUGCUCUCCCUGGUCUCCAGGCAGGGCCCUCCCAGGGUGGACAUUGCCCAUCUCUGCCUGGCCAGGGGCUGCUGACCCACUGGUUCCAGAGUCUGAGCCUGUCCUGCACAAGUACCAUGGACAGGGGUCAGCCGGGCACUGAAGAGGCGUGGCAGAAUUGGGCAGGGCAAGGGCCCCAGCUGGCAAGCUGGAGUCAGGGCAAUUCCAACCAAGAAACUGCGGCAGGCCGGGUGCAGUGUCUCAAGCCUAUAAUCCCAGCACUUUGGGAGGCAGUGGGAGAAUCGCUUGAGCCCGGGAGUUUGAGACCAGCAUUGGUAACAUAGAGACCCUAUCGCUACAAGAAAAAAAAAAAAAAAAAGCUGGGCAUGGUGGUGCACACCUGUUGUCCCAGCUAUUCAGGAGGCUGACGUGGGAGGAUUGCUUGUGCCCAGGGGUUGCAGGCUGCAGUGAGCUGUGAUCAUACCACUGCACUCCAGCCUGGGCGACAGAGAACCUCUCUAAAAAAAAAGGAAAAUGAAAAAUAAAUGGGGGCAGAAGCUGAGCCAAGCAGAGGCGGGCAGCUCCUCCUCCAGGGCCCACCUGGCCUGCUGGGG